AUUGAACGCUGGCGGCAUGCCUAACACAUGCAAGUCGAACGGUAACAGGCCCUUCGGGUGCUGACGAGUGGCGGAUGGGUGAGUAAUACUUAGGAAUCUACCCUGUAGUGGGGGACAACCCGGGAAACUCGGGCUAAUACCGCAUACACUCUACGGAGGAAAGCGGGGGACCGCAAGGCCUCGCGCUAUUGGAUGAGCCUAAGCCCGAUUAGCUAGUUGGUGGGGUAAUAGCCUACCAAGGCAGUGAUCGGUAGCUGGUCUGAGAGGACGACCAGCCACACUGGGACUGAGACACGGCCCAGACUCCUACGGGAGGCAGCAGUGGGGAAUAUUGGACAAGUGGGACGAAAGCCUGAUCCAGCGAUGCCGCGUGUGUGAAGAAGG
rnacentral:rRNA from 1 species